rnacentral:rRNA from 1 species
GUGAGGAAUAUUGGUCAAUGGGCGAGAGCCUGAACCAGCCAAGUAGCGUGCAGGAUGACGGCCCUAUGGGUUGUAAACUGCUUUUAUGCGGGGAUAAAGUGAGGGACGUGUCCCUUUUUGUAGGUACCGCAUGAAUAAGGACCGGCUAAUUCCGUGCCAGCAGCCGCGGUAAUACGGAAGGUCCGGGCGUUAUCCGGAUUUAUUGGGUUUAAAGGGAGCGCAGGCGGGGAGGUAAGCGUGACGUGAAAUGUAGCCGCUCAACGGCUGAACUGCGUCGCGAACUGCCUCUCUUGAGUGAGUACGACGUCAGCGGAAUUUGUGGUGUAGCGGUGAAAUGCUUAGAUAUCACGAAGAACCCCGAUUGCGAAGGCAGCUGACGAGUCCUUUACUGACGCUAAAGCUCGAAGGUGCGGGUAUCGAACAGG